AUUGAACGCUGGCGGCAGGCCUAACACAUGCAAGUCGAGCGAGCGGCGGACGGGUGAGUAAUGUCUGUGAAACUGUCUGUUGUGGGGGGAUAACUAUUGGAAACGGUAGCUAAUACCGCACACCAUAUGAUGUGCCCAGAUGGGAUUAGCUAGUUGUUGGGGUAAUGGCUCACCUAGGCGACGCUCCCUAGCUGGUCUGAGAGGAUGACCAGCCACACUGGAACUGAGACACGGUCCAGACUCCUACGGGAGGCAGCAGUGGGGAAUAUUGCACAAUGGGCGCAAGCCUGAUGCAGCCAUGCCGCGUGUGUGAAGAAGGCCUUCGGGUUGUAAAGUACUUUCAGCGGGGAGGCGUUACCCGCAGAAGAAGCACCGGCUAACUCCGUGCCAGCAGCCGCGGUAAUUC
rnacentral:rRNA from 1 species